rnacentral:rRNA from 1 species
GAUGAACGCUGGCGGCGUGCCUAAUACAUGCAAGUCGAGCGAACAAACGAUGACCUUUGUCCUCUUACGUGAGCGGCGGACGGGUGAGUAACACGUGAAUAACCUACCUAUAAGACUGGGAUAACGUCGGGAAACCGGAGCUAAUACCGGAUAAUCUAUUGAACCUCCUUGGUCAAUAGUGGAAGACGUUGUUGCGGUCGCUGAUAGAUGGAUUCGCGCCCCAUUAGCUGGUUGGUGAGGUGACGGCCUACCAAGGCUUCGAUGGGUAGCCGGCCUGAGAGGGUGACCGUGCACAUGUGGACUGAGAUACGGCCCAGACUCCUACGGGAGGCAGCAGUGGGGAAUAUUGCACAAUGUGCGAAAGCCUGAUGCAGCGACGCCGCGUGAGGGAUGGAGGCCUUCGGGUUGGAAACCUCUUUCGCUCAUGGUCAAGCCGCAACUGUGGGUUGUGGUGAGGGUAGUGGGUAAAGAAGCGCCGGCUAACUACGUG